UCCUCGUCGUGGAAAGAAAUGGGACAGAGAGGAACGAGAGAGGAACGAAAGUGCCAGAGAGGGGACACCGCUUUCAAUGACUGAUGUUGAACACUUUCGCUUGGAUAAAAGUGAUUGUUUUUUUGGGGGACAAAUACGUUACUAAUUUCCAACAGGUAAUUGUCUUACAACAACAAAAAAUUAUAAUGAACGUGUGAGGAAGAGAAUGGUGAAGAUGUCCUCAAGAACAGAAAGACAAUCAACUUGUUAACAGUCAGUUGAACUAUAUGAAAAACAGACAGAUCGCUCAGGGGACAAAAGGGUACAACAACUACAAAUAGCUGACAUUUUUUUCCCCCACACAUUUUCAACAUUCAAAGACUGUGGUAUUUAUUACCAGCACUUUAGAUAACUAGUUGUGAACUUUUUUUUUGCAGGAGCUUUCUGUCUAAAUCGACUGUCUCUCAGAUAGUAGUUAGCUAUGUUUCCUCUAGACUCGACGUGGAACAUUUCCUUUGCAGGUUGCGGCUUUUUGGGGAUCUAUCAUAUUGGUGUAGCGAGUUGUUUACUGGAACAGAGCCCUUUCCUAGUCCACAACGCCCGUCACAUAUACGGGGCAUCGGCAGGGGCGCUCACCGCAUCUGCGCUGGUCACCGGAGCGUGUUUAGGUGAGGCAGGAGCCAACAUCAUUGAUGUGGCUAAGGAUGCCCGGAAGCGUUUCCUGGGGCCUAUGCACCCAUCCUUCAACCUGGUGAAGAUCAUGCGUAACAUGCUGUAUAAAACCCUGCCAGCCGAUUCUCACCACAGUGCCACAGGGCGUCUCGGCAUAUCACUGACCAGGGUGACCGACGGAGAGAACGUCUUGGUGUCGCACUUCAACAGCAAAGAGGAACUGGUGCAGGCCUGUGUCUGCAGCGCCUACAUCCCUGUGUACUGUGGACUGAUCCCUCCUACACUGCAGGGUGUGCGUUACGUGGACGGUGGUAUCAGUGAUAAUCUGCCUCAGUAUGAGCUGAAGAACACCAUCACUGUGUCUCCGUUCUCUGGAGAAAGCGACAUCUGUCCUAGAGACAGAUCCACCAACAUGCAUGAACUACGAUUCACCAACACCUCUAUCCAGUUCACACUCACCAACCUGUACAGAGUGUCCAGAGCUCUGUUCCCCCCUGAGCCACAGGUCAUGAAGACCAUGUGUAAACAGGGAUAUAAAGACGCCCUUCACUUCCUGAAGAAGAACGGACUACUGAAUCACCCAGGACCCCACAGACCUCUGAUAGCUGACGGUGAGGAUGAGGAAGAUGACAUCAUGAAUGAUGAUGGUGACGACGAAGAGCAUGAGGAGCAUCAUGUAGAGAACGAGAUCAGACCCAACGAGGAUGGGGUAGUGGUGAACCCCUCCCAAUCCAAAUCCGCCAUUGAGGAUCACAUCUUCGAGCACCUGCCACCCAGACUACACAAAGCUCUGGUGGAAGCCUGCAAGGAGAGAUACACUCUGGUCCAGUCGCUAAGCAACCUGCUGCCAGUCAGGAUGAUGACGGCUGUGAUGCUUCCCUAUACCCUCCCCCUGGAGUCUGCUCUGUCCAUGACUGUUAGACUGUUCGAAUGGCUGCCUGAUCUGCAGGAGGACGUGGGAUGGAUUGGAGAACAAACUAUGAAGAUGCUACAGUGUGCUGUGACACGGGCCACCAAGACUGUGUCCAACAGGAUGUCUGCAAAGUUUUCCUACCAGUUGGAGCUGCGUCACUGCCAGUCACUACCAGCCCAGCUCAUCCCUGCCAGCCUCCUCCCAAGCUGGGUGAGUGGAGGCAGUUCCUCUAUCCUGGAUGUUAUCAGUCGUUUGGACCAGUACCAGAGGCAGCUGCUGCCAAGCUUCUUCUGUGUUAACCUGGACCUCCAGGGCUCCUUCUACACCGGGGGGCCCACAGGAGGGAGCCCAGUCCCAGGAGGGUCAACCAGAGCUGGGGAAGAAGGACCAGGACCAGCCCUGGCUUUUACAUCCCCCAUCAUAAACCCAGAGGAGGUAGAGGGGAUGGGGCUGAUGAUGAGGAGGCUCAGUGAAAACCACAACUCUACUGCGGCUCUUCCAGCCUUGCUAUAGUAAUAUGAUGUAUGCCAUUCAGGAGACACUGAGGGCCCCCUGGGGGGGAUGACCAUUAGUAUUACAGACAGAUUCUAAUACCAAGCCAGGUAGACGCUGAGGGCCCCCUGGGGGGGAUGACCAUUAGUAUAACAGACAGAUUCUAAUAAUAAGCCAGGUAGCCGCUGAGGGCCCCCCUAUUAGUAUAACAGACAGAUUCUAAUAACAAGCCAGGUAGACGCUGAGGGGCCCCCCCAUUAGUAUUACAGACAGAUUCUAAUAACAAGCCAGGUAGACGCUGAGGGGCCCCCCAUUAGUA